ACAAGUAGAGUGAUCGAAAGAUGAAAAGCACUUUGGAAAGAGAGUCAAACAGCACGUGAAAUUGUUGAAAGGGAAGCGCUUGCAGCCAGACUUGCUUACAGUUGCUCAUCCGGGUUUUUACCCGGUGCACUCUUCUGUAGGCAGGCCAGCAUCAGUUUGGGCGGUGGGAUAAAGGUCUCUGUCACGUACCUCUCUUCGGGGAGGCCUUAUAGGGGAGACGACAUACCACCAGCCUAGACUGAGGUCCGCGCAUCUGCUAGGAUGCUGGCGUAAUGGCUGUAAGCGGCCCGUCUUGAAACACGGACCAAGGAGUCUAACAUCUAUG
rnacentral:rRNA from 1 species